AUGACUCCCAGCCACAAUAGGUACAUGUCAAUAUUUAAUAUUUAUGUUAAAAAUUAAAUUGUCAUAGACGUUAUAGUAAAACAUAAAAUUACUAAGUUUAAUAAUUACCAAAUUACUAAGUUUUUUUAGUACACAUUUUGAUUAUAGUAGAGUUAUAGAUCUUAUGGUUUAAAAUAUUCUAUUAUACUCGGAGCUAGUUGUUUUACAAUGACGAUUAUUUAUUCUCCAAACAACUUUUUGACCAGAAUUUUGUGGGCCCAUGUCAAUUCACGGAUAUCCAUUAUCCAUCCACCACAAAAAAUAGAAACAUAAUACUCCUUUGUACUGUUUGUAAUAUAAGACAAGUUAUAUGAACUUCAAAUUGUUGAUUUCAAGAUUCAAGGUUCUAACUGACAAUAAUUUUUAUCAAAUAAUGAUACACCAUCAUUGUUCUCAAAUCCAAUACAUUCAUUAAAAAUAACCUAUUCAAUGACGAGAUUCAUUCAAAAAAUAUACAGUAAAGAUAGUUCCUUGAUUUU